AGUUUCAUUGCUAGCAUUACCCAGUGGCCAGGUAAGUUUCUAUUGAAUGAGUACAAAAGACGUUUUUGCAUAAAUGUUAAAGGCACACUUUAAAAUUAAAUACCCAUUGCAUUUUCAAGUUAUUUAUUACAUAUUCUUACAGCUAAUAUCUUUUUAAAGAAUUCUCGUGAUUGGCCACAAGCCUUAGAACAGAAAACACGAGAAUUCUCGUGAUCCAUCCACAACAUGUGAAAUGAAAGAGGU